GCUCCGGCUUCCCUCCAGGCGGCAGCGGAAGGUGGGAGCGACGACUGCAAAACGGCAGCGAUGGGGGAGGCUUGCUGCUCCUCCGCGGCCGUUACAGAGAGCGGGGCUUCUGCGGCCGCUACCGUUUCCCUGGGGCUAGGUUGCUUCGCAGAAGGCUCUGGCCCUGAGUCCGAGGGGGACUGCGGGGUCCAGGGGCGAUGAAUGCUCCCGCAACCUCCGGAGCUUGUGCGCGUACUUCAGGGACCGGCACCACGUCACCGUCACCUCCUGAGUAGUGAGUUCCCCUCUGAUGAAACCACUGUCUGAAAAUUCAAAAGAGAAGCAAUUUAAAGGACUUCCAUUUACUUCUUUCCCCUCUAAUCUGCACAAAAGGUUAAAUGUAGCAGUGCAGCAGUUCUGGCCAUCAAAAUAUGAUUAUUGUACUUUAAAAGCAGCCAUGAGAACUCUGCUCUUUGAUAGACUUCAACUUGCAACAACUAAGGAAUAAUCCAGUUCCAGAGGAGAUUAGGAGUUGGGUGAGA
rnacentral:lncRNA from 1 species